UUUAAGUGCAACCAUAAGUUUCCGUGUCCAAUUUUGAUCGUCCGUCUUAUUUGAAAUUAUUUUUAAUUAAUAUUUUUGUUGUUAUGAGAUGAUAAAACAUGAAUAUUACUUUACUCAUGACAUAUGUUUUUAAUUUUUUAAAAUUAAAAUGGGACAGAGGGAGUAGCUAGCUAGCAUAUGUAAUUAAU
rnacentral:pre_miRNA from 1 species